GACGAACGCUGGCGGCGUGCCUAAUACAUGCAAGUUGAGCGCUGAAGGUUGGUCCUUGUACCAACUGGAUGAGCAGCGAACGGGUGAGUACCGCGUGGGGAAUCUGCCUUUGAGCGGGGGACAACAUUUGGAAACGAAUGCUAAUACCGCAUAAAAACUUUAAACACAAGUUUUAAGUUUGAAAGAUGCAAUUGCAUCACUCAAAGAUGAUCCCGCGUUGUAUUAGCUAGUUGGUGAGGUAAAGGCUCACCAAGGCGAUGAUACAUAGCCGACCUGAGAGGGUGAUCGGCCACAUUGGGACUGAGACACGGCCCAAACUCCUACGGGAGGCAGCAGUAGGGAAUCUUCGGCAAUGGACGAAAGUCUGACCGAGCAACGCCGCGUGAGUGAAGAAGGUUUUCGGAUCGUAAAACUCUGUUGGUAGAGAAGAACGUUGGUGAGAGUGGAAAGCUCAUCAAGUGACGGUAACUACCCAGAAAGGGACGGCUAACUACGUG
rnacentral:rRNA from 1 species